GAUGAACGCUGGCGGCGUGCCUAAUACAUGCAAGUCGAGCGAACAGACGAGGAGCUUGCUCCUCUGACGUUAGCGGCGGACGGGUGAGUAACACGUGGAUAACCUACCUAUAAGACUGGGAUAACUUCGGGAAACCGGAGCCAAUACCGGAUAAUAUAUUGAACCGCAUGGUUCAAUAGUGAAAGACGGUUUUGCUGUCACUUAUAGAUGGAUCCGCGCCGCAUUAGCUAGUUGGUAAGGUAACGGCCUACCAAGGCAACGAUGCGUAGCCGACCUGAGAGGGUGAUCGGCCACACUGGAACUGAGACAUGGUCCAGACUCCUACGGGAGGCAGCAGUAGGGAAUCUUCCGCAAUGGGCGAAAGCUUGACGGAGCAACGCCGCGUGAGUGAUGAAGGUCUUCGGAUCGUAAAACUCUGUUAUUAGGGAAGAACAAAUGUGUAAGUAACUAUGCACGUCUUGACGGUACCUAAUCAGAAAGCCACGGCUAACUACGUG
rnacentral:rRNA from 1 species